AUGGAUGAGAGACUGAUCCUCGCCGUCUGUGACUUCCCUGAAAUAUAGCUAUAACUGUUCACUGAACAGUUAUGGGACAUUAACAGGAGGGCGUUUGCAUGACUAGAUUUAUCAGCUAUAUGAAUAUGAAUAAUAUAUAUAAUAAUAUAGACUAUCAACUAACAGUACUUAUAGUUUUACUUUAAUCUAGGCUAUGAAGGAAUACAGUUGCUCACAGAAGCCGUUGCCGUGGUUACUAUCUAUAGAGCACCUUCCGUUUACUCGCGGAGUGCUUGUAUCCUUGUCUGUUCACAUGAGAAGUGCAGAGCGACCCCGCGGGCCCAAGCGACUAUGCAGGCGGAGUGUCGCUAAGACCUGAAGACCGCAGGGUUGUACUCGGAAGAGGACGGAGCCCAAGGCCCACCUAAACUGCCCCAACAAAAGACCCCUGAGAAAGCAAGAAACCUGGAGCGGUAUCAGAGACUUAUUGUGAGCGGCAGCCCCAUUUGCCUGCAGAUGAAGGUCCGCCCAAAAGCUAACUGCCACAGCAAGGGCCAGGUUGCGAAAUAAUAAAUAAGAUAAUGUUA